rnacentral:rRNA from 1 species
GUGCUUGCACUAAUCCAAAGAGUUGCGAACGGGUGAGUAACGCGUAGGUAACCUACCUCAUAGCGGGGGAUAACUAUUGGAAACGAUAGCUAAUACCGCAUGAYACUAGAGUACACAUGUACUUAAGUUAAAAGGAGCAAUUGCUUCACUAUGAGAUGGACCUGCGUUGUAUUAGCUAGUUGGUGAGGUAACGGCUCACCAAGGCGACGAUACAUAGCCGACCUGAGAGGGUGAUCGGCCACACUGGGACUGAGACACGGCCCAGACUCCUACGGGAGGCAGCAGUAGGGAAUCUUCGGCAAUGGACGGAAGUMWGACCGAGCAACGCCGCGUGAGUGAAGAAG